rnacentral:rRNA from 1 species
UGGGGGAUUUUGCACAAUGGGCGCAAGCCUGAUGCAGCGACGCCGCGUGAGGGAUGAAGGAAUUCGUUUCGUAAAACUCUGUUCUAUGGGAAGAAAAGGACUGUACCAUAGGAGAAAGCUCCGGCUAAAUACGUGCCAGCAGCCGCGGUAAUACGUAUGGAGCGAGCGUUGUCCGGAAUUAUUGGGCGUAAAGGGUGCGCAGGCGGCUUUACAAGUUGGAUGUGAAAUAUUGUGGCUCAACCACAAACGUGCAUCCAAAACUGCAAAGCUUGAGUUAAGGAGAGGUAAGUGGAAUUCCUGGUGUAGCGGUGGAAUGCGUAGAUAUCAGGAGGAAUACCGGUGGCGAAGGCGACUUACUGGACUUAAACUGACGCUCAGGCACGAAAGCGUGGGGAGCAAACAGG